ACAAGAAAAAUAGUCUAUGACAACAUCAUAUUUACAACAUGCUGUAAAUGCUCGUUGUCAUCUCUAAUAUUCUACAACAUGCGCAGAAAGAGUGUUGUAUUAAAUUAUUUACCACUACAUGCGUCAUUUGCAUGUUGUUAAUUUCGUUAUCGAUAACUCAGUUUGCACGUUGUUGUCUACUUGUUGUCAAUUAAUGUAUCAACAAGUAGGAGUGCAUGUUGUUAAAUAUUUUCAAAACAACAACGUGCAGCUAACGCGGUCGAAACUUUGAGAUAAAAGAUUAAAAAAAAAAAAAAACAAAAGGGCCUGUUGACUAAAGUCAGUAAAAAAAAGAAGCAUCAGCUCUCUAAAUCCAUCAUAGACCCAAAACAUAUAAAAUCCUGGGCUUGAAGAAUUGAGCUCUGAAGCUCUCAAUUCUCAAACCCUAAACCGCCCGAAACGAUCGCUUCCCUCCGUCGUCACUCUCAAUUGGAUCGACGACUUCACUAUGGAGCAAGACUGCUUGUCCGGCGUCGCCGCCGUCGAGCACGUCCUGCUUAGCCGACGGCAGGGUCGAGUUUGCCUUUGGCUGAGCUCCUCCAAUCCCUCCCGUAGUCCCAUACCUCCCAAGCGCCGCCCAGCGUCGGCUACGUCCUUACUAGUUCAUCCUCUGCCUCGGCUCCGUCGACCGCGCCACUGACUCCGCCGACCUCGGUUGUCAAUCUCUAAUGCAUUUCCGGCGUUACGGCUACGAAGUUUGAGGUACAGUUUCUGUCAAGAUGGAGAAACAAUGGCUGCAAUUUGAUAGAGAAAAGGAACAGACAAAGAAGAGGAAAAGAGGUGAUGAAGAACAGAAAAAGAAGGGGAAAAAGAAGAGGAGGAAGUGGACCAAUCAAUGCUCCAAGCAAUGAUCUUGAAAAUAGCAGAUGUGCACUUUUGAAUUGGAACAAUUAUGAAGAAGAUGAAGUGGUAGCUGAAGGAAUGAUCUCUUCAACAAAUCCAAGUACAAAAGUUCAUUGUGUGCCUCUUGGACGAAAUUGUUGGAAGGUUUGGGUUGAUGUGGUGUUUGAUGAGUAUCAGACUAUGGAAGUGUACAGAUUAACCAUGGAUGCCAAACAACUUGGUGAAGCUAUAGGAAGCACUCUUGCAUGGCCCAAAAGCUCCAUUGAAAUGCUUCCUUAGUAGUUGAAGUAGCAGGUACAUUUUGCUUUACUAGAGAAUUUAUGUAGGUCAGGAAGUACCAUGCAUGUUUUGUCAAUGCUGGUGAACAAAGAAUCCAGUACUUUGUCAUGCAUGUUUUGUAAAGAACAUAUGUAUAAGAGAAUGUGGCACUCCUAAUGAAAUGUAUAUUUUUCAUA